rnacentral:ncRNA from 10 species
GAAGUACAUCAAGAGAGGCUCAAAUUUGGGUCCGGCAACCUGGGAUGGACACCCAAGGUGCUCGCUUGCCUAGUAGGUGAGGAUGCGGUUUCGGAAGAAACAAUGAAGUGUCCGGCG